CCUACGGGAGGCUGCAGUAGGGAAUAUUGCUCAAUGGGGGAAACCCUGAAGCAGCAACGCCGCGUGGAGGAUGAAGGUUUUCGGAUUGUUAAACCCUUUUGUUAGAGAAGAUAAUGACGGUAUCUAACGAAUAAGCACCGGCUAACGCCGUGCCAGCAGCCGCGGUAACACGGAGGGUGCAGGCGUUACUCGGAAUCACUGGGCGUAAAGAGCGCGUAGGCGGGAUAGCAAGUCAGAUGUGAAAUUCUAUGGCUUAACCAUAGAACUGCAUUUGAAACUGUGAUUCUAGAGUAUGGGAGAGGUAGGUGGAAUGCGUGGUGUAGGGGUAAAAUGCGUAGAGAUCAAGAGGAAUACUGAUUGCGAAGGCGACCUGCUAGAACAUAACUGACGCUGAUGCGCGAAAGCGUGGGGAGCAAACAGGAUUAGAUACCCGUGUAGUC
rnacentral:rRNA from 1 species